CAUGCACCUAUUUCCCCUGGUCUUAAGCUUGUGGUGGUGGUGAGUAGCUUAUUUCAUGCAGUCAUCACCACCACCACCAUUCAGCCAUCACCAUCAAGGAAACAUCACUAAAGUCAUCACCAUAUCAUGCACCUAUUUCCCCUGGUCUUAAGCUUGUGGUGGUGAUGAGUAGGUUAUUUCAUGCAGUCAUCACCAUCACCACCACCACCACUGGGUCCUUCACUGAACACGCCUGCCAAAAACACCAAAAACUACCAAAAAUAAAUAUGCAUGCAGCGUACGUUCAGAUAAUUCUUCUUACUAGUGUUUUGGUAUUAUUUAGAAAUCACAUAUUUUUCUCAUAGCUACGGUAUAGAUACUUGACUUACUAGUAGUAUUUAGGAAACGGGGAAAUGCAAGCAAUAGGAAAUUUAAAUAUAUUUUUUCCCACAUAAACAAUUGUCACAGGCUCUGUUGUUCCUUUAAAGUUUCAUAUAGUGAAUGUAAUAUUAUAAGAUGCUAAAGAUGUAUGUAUUAUGAUUUAAAUAAGAAAUAUGCAAUAAGUAUAACACUUCCUGCCGGCAGUGUACGAUAUGUUUAGCAGCAGUGUAAACAACCUCCCGAACCAAGACCAAAACCAAGACCUCCCGCGCACUGAUUGGAGGGACAGAGGAUGCAUCGUGUGUGAGGCAGCGGUGUGCCAGCUGGAGGUAUGUUGAGUGGUAAAAUUUUCAACGCUACGUUCCAUCACUACUAUAUGAGUUUGAGAGCAUGACACCACGCCGGACUUGUUUGACUGGUCCUUUAGUGCAUGAAGGAAAUGCCUGCCAAGAGGCUGCACUGAUGCAUUCCUAUCAACCACGUGAUUGGGUGUUGGAGGAUAUGUCGCUGAAUGCUCUUAUUUUGCCAACAAUAAUCAUUAUAAUGACGUGAAUAAUGUACAGCACUCAGAUUUUUUUGUGUAAACAUGAUAGUAACCAUUACAACUCUGAUAUUUUGCUAGUUUGGUACAGAUAAAUGUCAAUUAAGCAGCGGCUCCAGCAGGGCCACCAGAUGGCAGGUCAGUUCAGUGAAGGACCCAAUUCAGUCAUCACCAGAAUAUCAAAAUAAAAAUCUCCAAAAAUAUCAAAUUAGAUCUUAAGGAACAAAUAAUAAUUGUAACUUAAAACAGAGGCAUUGAACUUUGUGACAAUCAAAUCAAGUUCUUAAAGAAAAAUGAAUUGUAACUUGACUAAACUUUAUAAACAAACAUCAAAUCAAGAUAUUUUGCAAAUUAUAAAAAAGUAAUGAAACAAAAUGAUAUUCUCUUAAGCAACUGAAUUAAAUAAUGGAACUUUAUAAUCUUUAUAAUUAUUAAAUUGAGAUCUUAAAGAAAAAUAUAAUAAUUGUAACUUGGAGACACUGUAAAUUAAUAUCAAAUCAAAGUCUUUAAAAAAAUUAUUAAGAGGAAAUACUGAUAUUUUCUUAAGCUUGUUUAAAUAAUGAAACUUUGUAAUUAAAUGUCAAAUCAAGAUCUUUUGCAAAUUAUGAAGCAAGGCAGACAAAAAAUAAAUCAAUAAAACUGAUAUUCUCUUAAGCUCUUGUUAAAAUAAUGAAAACACUGACCUUAGCCUUUGAUAAAUGAUAAAAACAAUAUGAACAGUAUAGUGUAGUUAGUGGUGCAAGGGACUCAUUAUUAGUUAGUGGUUAAAGGUGCCAAGGAAGGGCCAACCAGUGCCACCUCGUCAGUGGUGCCAAGUGUGUUUGAGUGUGUGGCAGAGGCUGUGUUGGGGGCAAGUUAGUGUCAAGCCCUGAACCAGUUAGUGUUAGUGAGUACCAAGGUGAGGGAGGGCCAGUCAGUGCCACCUCAAGUUAGUGGUGCCAAGUGUGUUUGAGUGUGUGGCAGAGGCUGUGUUGGGGGCAAGUUAGUGUUAGUGAGUGCCAAGGUGAGGGCCAAUCAGUACCACCCCAAAUUAGUGGUGCCAAGUGUGUGUUAGAGUAGUGAGUGGCAGAGGCUGUGUUGAGGGCAAGUUAGUGUCAAGCCCUGAACCAGUUAGUGUUAGUGAGUGCCAAAGUGAGUGAGGGCCAAUCAGUGCCACCUCAAGUUAGUGGUGCCAAGUGUGUUAGAGUAGUGUGUGGCAGAGGCUGUGGUGGGGGCAUGUUAGUGUUAAGCCAGUUAGUGAGUGCCUCUAACUGGUCUAGAGCCUAAGUUAGUGAUGUUAAGAUAGCCAUAAGCCAGUCAGUUAGUGAUGCCAAAAUAUAGGGCCAUCAGUGUUAGUGGUGCCAAAAUAGUUCCAUUAGUGUUAGUGGCACUAGAAACAUGGAGCCAUUAGUGUUUGUGGUGCCAAAAUAUAGAGCUGUUAGUGUUA